rnacentral:ncRNA from 1 species
AGAGCGCGUGGAGGCCCGAACCCACUUCAGUUGAAAAUGGAGGGGAUGAGCUGUGGGUAGGGGUGAAAGGCCAAUCAAACUUCGUGAUAGCUGGUUCUCCCCGAAAUGCAUUUAGGUGCAGCGUCGUGUGUUUCUUGCCAGAGGUAGAGCUAC